AUUCUGUUGCGAGUCGCCCUGCAAGCACGUUCUCGUGAGCUUUGAAGAUGGACGGUCCGGAGUAAUAUAAAAGCGCCUCUCCAGUCCGGAUAAUGGAAACCAUCUGUAGCAUUUUAAGCAACACGCUAUCGGAUAUAGUUUUCCAUGCGGUGUUACCACAUACUUUGCGGGAAGUCGAUAUUCCUUAUAUAAACGUCAAGAAGAGUGGACCGCAUAAUUCAAGGAAUCAUUAAAGAGGAAUAUUAAAGGCUACCACGAGCAUUUAUUCCUGGCAAUUUGCUGCGGGUGCGACAGAACUUCGAUGUUUACUCUUCGGAGUAGAAAGGAUGAAUGAUCCGGUGUCCCGUGGAGCUUUUAACGGAAUGUACUUUUGAUAAAACAGCGGCUUAUUCACCUUCUUGUACAUCUAUUUGGUUCAAAUCGAUUUAAAAUUACCGAAAGUAUUAAGUUUGACGUUUUCACCUGUGAAAAGUGUAGGCAAUCAUCAGAUUAACUCAAAGGACUGGCUGUAUAAAAACAAUGAUCCCGCUGAAUAAUCAAUUGACACUGAUAAAUGAAGAUAAGAAAAAUUAAAAUACGCUUUAUCUUAUCGAAAGUGUUGUUUAAAAUGAUAUAAACGAUAUAAUACA